CAGAUUCAGCCAAACCGAUAUUUAUUUCCCCUCUCUCCCAACGAUCAGCUGUUCCGAUGAUCAGCUGUGCCAGGAUCGCCCUCGCUGUCUUACUCCUUCGCCUAGGAGGCUUCCUUGAGGCCCAGGAGGCAAAAA